AAAAACUAUGUUUACCGUCAUGGAGAUUCUUAUAGUAGCAGAAAGGGAAUUUUAACUCCCAUUUCUAAGUUCGGUAUGUGGUGAAGCAGUUAGCUGAACCCUAAUUAUAAUUAUAUCUGUUACCUCGUGUGU